GGCACGGACACUGGUUCAGGCUCAGGCACGGGCACUGGUUCAGGCUCAGGCUCUCGCACGAACACUGGUUCAGGCUUAGGCUCAGGCACGGGCACUGGUUCAGGCUCAGGCUCUCGCACGAACACUGGUUCAGGCUUAGGCUCAGGCACGGGCACUGGUUCAGGCUCAGGCUCUCGCACGAACACUGGUUCAGGCUCAGGCUCUCGCACGAACACUGGUUCAGGCUCAGGCUGUGUUUGUGUGUGUGUCAGUCAUUGUGUUUUGAGGGACUCGGUCUUUUGUUUGUGUUUGCCAGUCAUUGUGUUUUAACGGACUCAGUCGUGUGUGUGUGUGUGUGUGUGUGUGUGUGUGUGUGUGUGUGUGCCAAUCAGUCUGUUUUAACAGACUCAGUCUUGUGUUUGUGUGUGUGUGCCAGUCAGCGUGUUUUAACAGACUCAGUCUUGUAUUUGUGUUUGUGUGUCAGUGUGUUUUAACAGACUCAGUCUUGUAUAUGUGUUUGUGUGUCGGUGUGUUUUAACAGACUCAUUCUUGUGUUUGUGUGUGCCUGUCAGUGUGUUUUAACAAACUCAGUCUUGUGUUUGUGUGUGUGUCAGUGUGUUUUAACAGACUCAGUCUUGUGUUUGUGUUUGUGUGUCAGUGUGUUUUAACAGACUCAGUCUUGUGUUUGUGUGUGUGCCUGUCAGUGUAUUUUAACAAACUCAGUCUUGUGUUUGUGUGUGUGUCAGUGUGUUUUAACAGACUCAGUCUUGUGUUUGUGUGUGUGCCUGUCAGUGUGUUUUAACAGACUCAGUCUUGUGUUUGUGUUUGUGUGUCAGUGUGUUUUAACAGACUCAGUCUUGUGUUUGUGUGUGUGCCUGUCAGUGUAUUUUAACAAACUCAGUCUUGUGUUUGUGUGUGUGUCAGUGUGUUUUAACAGACUCAGUCUUGUGUUUGUGUGUGUGUCAGUGUGUUUUAACAGACUUAGUCUUGUGUUUGUGUGUGUGCCUGUCAGUGUGUUUUAACAGACUCAGUCUUGUGUUUGUGUGUGUGUCAGUGUAUUUUAACAAACUCAGUCUUGUGUUUGUGUGUGUGUCAGUGUGUUUUAACAGACUCAGUCUUGUGUUUGUGUGUGUGUCAGUGUGUUUUAACAGACUCAGUCUUGUGUUUGUGUGUGUGCCUGUCAGUGUGUUUUAACAGACUCAGUCUUGUGUUUGUGUUUGUGUGUCAGUGUGUUUUUACGGACUCAGUCUUGUGUUUGUUUGUACCAGUCAGUGUGUUUCAACGGACUCUGGCACGGGAACUGGUUCAGGCUCAGGCUCUGGCACGGGCAAUGGUUCAGGCAUUGGCACGGGCACUGGUUCAGGCUCAGGCUCUGGCACGGGCACUGGUUCAGGCUCAGGCUCUGGCACGGGCACUGGUUCAGGCUCAGGCUCUGGCACGGGCACUGGUUCAGGCUCAGGCUCUGGCACGGGCACUGGUUCAGGCUCAGGCUCUGGCACGGGCACUGGUUCAGGCUCAGGCUCUGGCACGGGCACUGGUUCAGGCCGUGUGAUUAACGGGCGUGUUGUUUACGGGCGUCUAUUUGGCGGGUAUUUAAUUCGGAAUGUCUCGGGGACGAUGCCGAGGUGGAGGAGGCCUCUUCCGUGAAGGUGUCACCGGCCUGCACCUCUGCUGGGCUAGGGCCGGCAGUCUCCUCCUCUUCGGGCCCCGCGCAAGAAACAUCCUCGUCCGCCUCAAGGUU